UCAGGGUGGGUGAAACACAUUCUGCCCAUCCAAUCUGAACAGGCUGUGUAUACAGAGAGACAUACAGACCACCUCUCGUCCUCUCCACUAUGUCUCUCGCUGUGUCCUGUUCUACAAUUGGAUUAUUGCACUCCCUGUCCCUUCCAAUUCUAGAUAGCUCUCAUAGAUUUAAUAUGCCAGUGGAAUUUGGUAUCUGAGUUAAUUUAGAUGUAAACCUCAUGACAUGUGGCUUGUGACAUCCUGUCUGUCUGUAGAAACAGAGUCAUUAACUCUUUGUGUGCUCAUUAAUGCCUUUCUGUUUAAGCAGAGCUGAGGAAAGCUGAGCUGGACGGAAAUAAAAGACAAAGCAGGUAGGAGUAGAGUACAAUGCAGCAAGCCAAAGUGGAAAGUUGGUGACAACAAUCUUGUUCUGCAGACAGACAGGAAAGUAGAUCAGAGUACUCUUCAGAUGGAACCUGCAGUAGUUACUGAGGAAAGUCACAUCAAAGAAUGUCACGGGAGGUGUACUGUUCAUACAAAUACUGGGAUGUUUUGUUUCCACAGUCUAACAUGUAAUCACACUCAUCAGCAGCACUCUGACAUGGAUACUGUAAUUCUGCUGGAGAGAGGAAAGUCUGCCUUUCCAUGACUUAGAGAAUGUGUUUAUCAUAGUUUUCUUGAUAAAAGAAAUAGAAAACAAUUUGUGCUGUGUUAUUCUGAAUUUGUUAUUUCCAUAUUUUUUUACACAACAAUUAUACUGAAACUUGUAUUUUCUGAACGUAUUAACAUGUCGAGUGGUAAACUAACAAUAUUAUUGAUGGAUGAUUGUUCAUUUCAUACUUAUACAUUUACAAUAACAUUUACAAUAACAUUUACAAUAAAAUAUACAUAUUUUACACGUAUAUUUAGCUGAAAAGAUAAAGAAUAUGUAAAUAAAGGUACUUAAUGAAGCUGAUGAUGAUACAGUAACAGUUACACAAGUUGAAUCACUUCCUUUUCUUUGCAGAACACCCUUUCAAUGGAAAAUACACAAUGAAUAUGAAUCUAUCAAUUUCAAUUAAGCUGCAGAUUUGACAUUCUGGUGCAAACUUCUGGAUGUCUUUGGGUGUGGCCGCCAGUCGGCACAGGAACGCUUGCCACUUCCUGCUACCCCCUCACUUGCCUCUGCCUACUCCCACCCUCAAUCGCCUCCAUGCCAAUCAGCCAAGGCAGCUGUACAAACACCCACAACAACACUGCUACUUCCCUCAAACAAAGUCUUCUGCCAUGACAUCCGUACUGGAGUGGAUUUCCAAAACAAUAAUAAUUAACCAAGCUAAGCUGAGCUGUGCUGACUGAGGGGGGAACAGAACAACGACAAUGUUUUUCAUUGGCUCUGACUGACUUCCAUCCAAUUCAGGCUAAUUGUGAAGUGUACAUACAGGCUGAGGCCAGGGAGGUGCUUCCUGGAGCGUCCCUCACUAAUGGCUGAAGAGGAUGGUCAUUUCAGCGUAAAAUGUAAUGUCCCCCAGCUGUCCAAGCAACAGGGAUCAAAUCCCUCCUCCUCCUUCCUCCAUUCCUCACCCCUCCAUCUCUCAUCCCUCCAUCCCUCAUUCUUUAAUGACCACACUGCAGCCAGCAGAGAUGUCAGCCCAAAGGGCACUCCUCAAGAAUGGAAGCUAUGAUUGUACCAUCUGCUUUAUCCCUGCUCUCCAGUUAAUACAGUAUUCCAGGUACUGACUGACACAAUACACUACUACACAUGUACAAAUCAUAUUGCAUACUGUACA